GUACUUUGACGUGCGGCCGAUCUUAAAAACACUCCGCUGUCGCUUGGUGCCGCCCCCGGCCCGCCGCCUGCCCGCUGUACCCAGCCUGAGGAUGCGCUAACCGGCUCCCAGCAUCCUCCGCGGCGUCUGGUGUUUGCGUUUUAACGGCGGCUCAGACCGUUGGUGGGCUAACUUUUGGAUUGCCUUAUUCUUUGGGGGGGGGGGGCUUUUUAAUUGUUUUUGUCUU